CCUACGGGCGGCAGCAGUGGGGAAUAUUGCACAAUGGGGGAAACCCUGAUGCAGCGACGCCGCGUGAGUGAAGAAGUAUUUCGGUAUGUAAAGCUCUAUCAGCAGGGAAGAAAUAAAGUCCUUCGGACUUUGGACGGUACCUGACUAAGAAGCCCCGGCUAACUACGUGCCAGCAGCCGCGGUAAUACGUAGGGGGCAAGCGUUAUCCGGAUUUACUGGGUGCAAAGGGAGCGUAGACGGCAGCGCAAGUCUGGAGUGAAAUCCCAUGGCUUAACCAUGGAACUGCUUUGGAAACUGUGCAGCUGGAGUGCAGGAGAGGUAAGCGGAAUUCCUAGUGUAGCGGUGAAAUGCGUAGAUAUUAGGAGGAACACCAGUGGCGAAGGCGGCUUACUGGACUGUAACUGACGUUGAGGCUCGAAAGCGUGGGGAGCAAACAGGAUUAGAUACCCUGGUAGUC
rnacentral:rRNA from 1 species